CCUACGGGUGGCAGCAGUGAGGAAUAUUGGUCAAUGGGCGCGAGCCUGAACCAGCCAAGUAGCGUGAAGGAUGACUGCCCUACGGGUUGUAAACUUCUUUUAUAAAGGAAUAAAGUGAGGUACGUGUGCCUCUUUGUAUGUACUUUAUGAAUAAGGAUCGGCUAACUCCGUGCCAGCAGCCGCGGUAAUACGGAGGAUCCGAGCGUUAUCCGGAUUUAAUGGGUUUAAAGGGAGCGUAGAUGGGUUGUUAAGUCAGUUGUGAAAGUUUGCGGCUCAACCGUAAAAUUGCAAUUGAUACUGGCAGUCUUGAGUACGGUUGAGGUAGGCGGAAUUCGUGGUGUAGCGGUGAAAUGCUUAGAUAUCACGAGGAACUCCGAUUGCGAAGGCAGCUUACUAGACUGCCACUGACAUUGAUGCGCGAAAGUGUGGGUAGCAAACAGGAUUAGAUACCCCAGUAGUC
rnacentral:rRNA from 1 species